rnacentral:rRNA from 1 species
CAGUCGCCGCGGUAAUACCGAGGGUGCGAGCGUUAAUCGGAUUUACUGGGCGUAAAGCGUGCGUAGGCGGCUUCUUAAGUCGGAUGUGAAAUCCCUGAGCUUAACUUAGGAAUUGCAUUCGAUACUGGGAAGCUAGAGUAUGGGAGAGGAUGGUAGAAUUCCAGGUGUAGCGGUGAAAUGCGUAGAGAUCUGGAGGAAUACCGAUGGCGAAGGCAGCCAUCUGGCCUAAUACUGACGCUGAGGUACGAAAGCAUGGGGAGCAAACAGGAUUAGAUACCCCCGUAGUCCCUGUCUCUUAUAA